rnacentral:tRNA from 1 species
ACUCGAUUACAUGGUGGAAGGCUGGUUAAACCGUUUGGUUUUCGACCACUAGGACCCGGGUUCGAUUCCCGCAUUGGACA